ACCAUUCUGUGUUUCGAAUG
rnacentral:miRNA from 1 species